rnacentral:rRNA from 1 species
GACGAACGCUGGCGGCGUGCUUAACACAUGCAAGUCGAACGGAAAGGCCCUGCUUUUGUUUGGUGCUCGAGUGGCGAACGGGUGAGUAACACGUGAGUAACCUGCCCUUGACUUUGGGAUAACUUCAGGAAACUGGGGCUAAUACCGGAUAGAAUAUCCUGCUGCAUGGUGGGGUGUGGAAAGUUUCGGUGGUUGGGAAUUGAUUUGUUGUUUAUCAGCUUGUUGGUCGGGUAGUUAGUUUCCAAGUGUUUGAGGGGUAGGCGGCCUGUGUGGGUAACCUGCCACAUUGGGACUGGGAUAGGGCUCAGAAUCCUAGGCGAGGCAGAAGUGGGGAACCUUGCACAAUGGGAGGAAGCCAGAUGAAGUAGCGCAGCGUGCGGGAUGACCGUAUUCGGGUGGUAAACCGCUUUCUCCUGUGACGAAGCCUGAGUGACGGUAACGGGUAAAGAAGCACCGGCUAACUACGUG